GUGGGGAAUCUUGCGCAAUGGGCGAAAGCCUGACGCAGCCAUGCCGCGUGAAUGAUGAAGGUCUUAGGAUUGUAAAAUUCUUUCACCGGGGACGAUAAUGACAGUACCCGGAGAAGAAGCUCCGGCUAACUUCGUGCCAGCAGCCGCGGUAAUACGAAGGGGGCUAGCGUUGCUCGGAAUUACUGGGCGUAAAGGGCGCGUAGGCGGACAGCUUAGUCAGAGGUGAAAGCCCAGGGCUCAACCUUGGAAUUGCCUUUGAUACUGGCUGUCUUGAGUUUGGGAGAGGUGAGUGGAACUCCGAGUGUAGAGGUGAAAUUCGUAGAUAUUCGGAAGAACACCAGUGGCGAAGGCGACUCACUGGCCCAAUACUGACGCUGAGGCGCGAAAGCGUGGGGAGCAAACAGGAUUAGAUACCCUAGUAGUCC
rnacentral:rRNA from 1 species